AUAGCAUUCAAAAGCACAGUAAAUUACAAGUGAGAAAAAUCACAAGACAGACAACUACAGGAAAAAUGCUACUGAACAGAAAAACAAGUGCAAUGCACCAACCUAUCACCAAGCUUAAACGCUUGGAAACGAGACAACCCCAUGUACUGUUCAACCACAUCUCCCAAUCAUGUAACAAUAAUCUUCUCGAAAUGCAUAAUUAGUACACGAAACUGUUCAUGUGCGCCUACGCCUUACAAUCGACUCAAUAUAAGCAACUAUGGGCAGAUAAAUAUAGUACAAUACAUCAGUGUUAACAAAACACCCUGGGAUUAUUCAUGCUAUUGCUGUUUCCUUCUCCCUCCAAGUUGCGAGGACCUCAUCAGUUCUAAACCGUUGAGUAAACGUUGAUUCCUCCAUUGGAGUUGAUGCACCAUUCGCA
rnacentral:misc_RNA from 1 species